CCCUUAGAUGUUCUGGGCCGCACGCGCGCUACACUGUUCGACGCAGCGAGUCUUAACCUUGACCGAAAGGUUUGGGUAAUCUUCAGCAAAGUCGAACGUGAUGGGGAUCGAUCAUUGCAAUUAUUGAUCGUGAACGAGGAAUUCCUAGUAAGUGCAAGUCAUCAGCUUGCGCUGAUUACGUCCCUGCCCUUUGUACACACCGCCCGUCGCUACUACCGAUUGAAUGGUUUAGUGAGAUCUCUGGAUUGACGCUGGCUAGGGGGCGACCCUUGGCCAGACUGUUGAGAAACUGCUCAAACUUGAUCAUUUAGAGGAAGUAGAAGUCGUAACA
rnacentral:rRNA from 1 species